GAGUGAUUGUGAAAUAGUACACUCUUUUUUUUUAAUUUGAAAAUUAGCUUGUAUUAGAAAAGUGACAAGGAGUAUAAACACAGUGAAAAGCAAGCUAAUAAAUAACAUUUCUUGGUGAUUGAACUAAUUGGAAAUUUAGCCUGUGGUUGAUUAUUUUCCACACCCAAGCCUCAAGCAUUGACACAAAUGGCCAGGGUGCUGUUACAGCUGUCUGGGUAAAAGGAUUUGCUUAAAUAUGCUCUUGUUGGCACGGCUAGAAUAAAAAAUGAAGGGCAAAGUCACACUGAUAGAUAAUGAGCCCUUUAUCAAAAAAACUGUGUUGGACAAUCUCACUGCUCAGAAAGAAGUUUUCAAAAAGAAACCCCAGCCUUUGUUCCCUCCACUGGAGUGGACCCAGAGCUGUCAGGGCCGCUAACAGAACCUAGCCUGGAGUAGUCCGACAGCCUCCUAGAAUAAAGGAAACAUAUUACCCAUCAGCCUCCCCAGUCUAGCUCCUAUCACGUCGCCUUUUCUCUGGGUCCUGCCAAGAUCUGCAUGCAAAGAAAACACUUUGGAUAAGGUUACACUGAACAGGAGCAGGGUGAAGACUGAAACCCACAUCCCCAGUCCACAGAUUUGUGAUGUUUUAUUAGUCUUGAGUUUCAUGAGCCUCCUCGGGGGGAGCUGAAAAUGAGUUUAGAACAAGACUGGAAGAAUGACAGGUACCAUCUAGAAGGUGGAGGAUGAAGUUAAAGGAAGCAGGCCUGAUACCUCUUGAAGUGAAUAUGGAGAGCUCGCACGGGCAUUUCUUCACUGGGACACCACUGAGGGAUUCAUGGAGAAACAUACAGCUUAUGCCUUACAAAUUUCAAGUUGAAGGUCUGAGGUGGUUAUGGCCUGCAACAGGACACUUAAGAGGGAACUCCCUAUGGGCUGAGAUUUGACCUGGUUGGAGACCUGGUGUUCUUCUAAAGUCCAAGCAACUCUUGGUGACAUUGGACAUUCCUCCUUCUGUUGGUACCACCAGCUUACUGGAUGGCGCACCAAACUGGAGAGCAGCAAGAGUGGACCUGUGUGGAGAGAGCUUUGGGCAUCUUGAUGCUUGAAAUCUGUCCCUGCCUCCAGCACAGAGACAGCGAAGUGAAAGCAGGGCUCAAGAAGUGAAGAGGCCAUGAUAGCCCACACAUGGACCACAUUGACCACGUUAUUUUCUUUCCAUAAGCUAAAAGGGCAUCUCUGAAUUCUCAAAAAAAAAAAAAGAAAACAUGUUCAUAUUUUCAAAAUUCUUCUAAUAUUUUAAACUGAGGUUUUAAAAAGGGAUAAAGAGCUUUCUGACAGUUCAGGCAUCAUAGACUGAAUUGGAAGACUUAGCCUACGGGGCUUGACAUUUGACUAUCUGGGCAGCAAUAGAGCUUGCACCCAGAUGAGAAGAAAAUGACAUGGUGGUUCAAAUAUGUUUUAUAGUCCUCCCCGCAUUGUGUAUAUAGAUCUUGGAUGCUGUAAGAACAAGGAUCUCGAGGGUGCAUGAAGACAAAUAAAGUGAGCAACAGCCAGUGGCUUCCAGUUGGCUGGCCUGUUUCAACUCAGGAAAAUAAAGGCAUUGGUAACUGAUUUGUUCUCCUCCUCAAACAAAAUAUUCAGAGGAAGAGUUUAAAUGAUGAGGAUCUAGUGGUAAACCAUGCAAAUAAAAAUCCCUGCCAUGGAGAGAUUCAAUUUUAAGAAUGCCCUAGGGAUCCCUUUGGGUGGAGAAUUUAAUUGCAUUUUCAGUUUCAAUGUCCACACCAUGGCCAGCACUGAACAGAGAGGACAAUUUUUGCAGUGUUACAGAACUUUAAGUCUCCUGGCUGUUUAUAUUCACUGGCCCCAUCCAAGGUCCUGUGUGGUAUUCUCAAGGAUUUGGGGUGUAGCUGAGGGUGGAGCACUGGCCCAGUCAGGGAGCAGCAUCCACAUCCUCUGUCUGUGGGUAAGGUCAGUGGGUACCCCGCACCCCCUCCUGUGUGCCAACCUCCAGAUGCACCUGCCCUGUGUGAGGCCUCCCUAAGUACCUGCAAUCCAGAUGGCACCAAGGAGCAGGUUUGGAACAGGAUGCUUGCCGCACCACUCUCUGCAUAGGACCCUCCAGACUAAGGCUCAGUUACAGACACCUGUGUCUUUCUCCCCCUCCCACAACACCAGACUGGGUGCUGGAGCAGCUGCUGAGGCAAUGGCCACGGGGUCAGCUGGAGAGCAAAGGUCUGGAAGCCCUGGGACUUUCUCAUGAAGCACUUUUGGAGCAAGAUACUGCUUCAGCAGUAAGUGCUGAAGCUAAAGGAAUAUUUUUCACUCCAUCACCAGCAAAUAAACAACGUCUAUCUACACGACUAGAGAAAGACAAAAUGUCUUCCUCUGUACAGAGAAUGGUAUUUUAAAGUUCUUCACAUAUGAGGAAGGAAGAAAAAGGAUGAAGUAAAAAAAAUAAAUUUAUAAAAGUGGGUACAAGAG
ensembl:lncRNA